GACUCCAUAGCUAAGUGGUUAUAGCAUGAGAUUGCAGUUAGGAGUUCCACGCUAUAACUAAUCUCGGGGUCGCGUGUUCGAGUCACGCUGGGGUCU